rnacentral:rRNA from 1 species
UGGGGGCAUCCUGAGCAGCGACGCCGCGUGAGUGAGAGGCCUUCGGGUUGUAAAGCUCUGUUGUGGGGAAGAAUGAUGGGGGUCCAUAUGAGGAAUGCCCGACGAAACCCUUGGCGGAAGCCCCGGUUAAUUCCAGGGCGCCAGCCGUGUCCAGAAUUAGGGGGCAGAAAUUGUUCGGAAUCUGGGUUAUAAAGGGGGGCGCUAAUGGUUUGGCUCAACUUCUGUUUAUCUAUCGGUACUGUCCGAGGAAGGGAUUUGGAAAGGAAGUGAAUUUCCCGGUGUAGGGGAGAAAUGAAUUCAUGUUGGGAGGAACAACUUUGGCAAAGGCGACUUCAUGGAACAUUACUAACGCUCAUGUCCGAAAGGUAGGGGACCCAAAGGGAUUAAAUCCCCCGGUACUCCCAGCCUUAAACAAUGGGUACUACGUGGGGGUGUCGCAGGGCCUCUGUGCCGCAGCUAACGCGAUAACUUUCCCGCCUGGGGACUACGAUCGCAAGACUGAAACUCAAAGGAAUUUGAGCAAGAUUCAAACUCAAAGGAGAUGGAC